CCUACGGGGUGCAGCAGUGAGGAAUAUUGGUCAAUGGACGAGAGUCUGAACCAGCCAAGUAGCGUGAAGGAUGACUGCCCUAUGGGUUGUAAACUUCUUUUAUAUGGGAAUAAAACGUUCCACGUGUGGGAUUUUGUAUGUACCAUAUGAAUAUGGAUCGGCUAACUCCGUGCCAGCAGCCGCGGUAAUACGGAGGAUCCGAGCGUUAUCCGGAUUUAUUGGGUUUAAAGGGAGCGUAGGUGGAUUGUUAAGUCAGUUGUGAAAGUUUGCGGCUCAACCGUAAAAUUGCAGUUGAAACUGGCAGUCUUGAGUACAGUAGAGGUGGGCGGAAUUCGUGGUGUAGCGGUGAAAUGCUUAGAUAUCACGAAGAACUCCGAUUGCGAAGGCAGUUCACUGGACUGCAACUGACACUGAGGCUCGAAAGUGUGGGUAUCAAACAGGAUUAGAUACCCUUGUAGUC
rnacentral:rRNA from 1 species